rnacentral:rRNA from 1 species
AUUGAACGCUGGCGGCAUGCCUUACACAUGCAAGUCGAACGGCAGCACGGGUGCUUGCACCUGGUGGCGAGUGGCGAACGGGUGAGUAAUACAUCGGAACAUGUCCUGUAGUGGGGGAUAGCCCGGCGAAAGCCGGAUUAAUACCGCAUACGAUCUACGGAUGAAAGCGGGGGACCUUCGGGCCUCGCGCUAUAGGGUUGGCCGAUGGCUGAUUAGCUAGUUGGUGGGGUAAAGGCCUACCAAGGCGACGAUCAGUAGCUGGUCUGAGAGGACGACCAGCCACACUGGGACUGAGACACGGCCCAGACUCCUACGGGAGGCAGCAGUGGGGAAUUUUGGACAGUGGGCGAAAGCCUGAUCCAGCAAUGCCGCGUGUGUGAAGAAGGCCUUCGGGUUGUAAAGCACUUUUGUCCGGAAAGAAAUCCUUGGCCCUAAUACGGUCGGGGGAUGACGGUACCGGAAGAAUAAGCACCGGCUAACUACGU